GGCUCGGUAGUGGGUGGUCCACAUCUGCAUGUGAUGCUUCGAGAUGCCACAGUUUAUGCAGACAAUGCCUGUUCGACCCAGGCCCGAGCCA